rnacentral:rRNA from 1 species
GACGAACGCUGGCGGCGUGCUUAACACAUGCAAGUCGAACGGAAAGGCCCUGCUUGCAGGGUACUCGAGUGGCGAACGGGUGAGUAACACGUGGGUGAUCUGCCCUGCACUUCGGGAUAAGCCUGGGAAACUGGGUCUAAUACCGGAUAGGAGCCAUUUUUGGUGUGAUGGUUGGAAAGUUUUUUCGGUGUAGGAUGAGCUCGCGGCCUAUCAGCUUGUUGGUGGGGUAAUGGCCUACCAAGGCGGCGACGGGUAGCCGGCCUGAGAGGGUGGACGGCCACAUUGGGACUGAGAUGCGGCCCAGACUCCUACGGGAGGCAGCAGUGGGGAAUAUUGCACAAUGGGCGCAAGCCUGAUGCAGCGACGCCGCGUGGGGGAUGACGGCCUUCGGGUUGUAAACUCCUUUCGCUAGGGACGAAGCUUUUUGUGACGGUACCUAGAUAAGAAGCACCGGCUAACUACGUG